UGGGGGAUAUUGCACAAUGGGCGAAAGCCUGAUGCAGCGACGCCGCGUGGGGGAUGAAGGCCUUCGGGUUGUAAACUUCUUUUGCUCUGAACAAGGCAUGCCUUUGGGGUGUGUUGAGUGUAGGGGUUGAUUAGCGCCGGCUAACUACGUGCCAGCAGCCGCGGUAAUACGUAGGGCGCGAGCGUUGUCCGGAAUUAUUGGGCGUAAAGGGCUUGUAGGUGGCUGGUUGCGUCUGUCGUGAAAGCUCAUGGCUUAACUGUGGGUUUGCGGUGGGUACGGGCUGGCUUGAGUGCAGUAGGGGAGGCUGGAAUUCCUGGUGUAGCGGUGGAAUGCGCAGAUAUCAGGAGGAAUACCGGUGGCGAAGGCGGGUCUCUGGGCUGUUACUGACGCUGAGGAGCGAAAGCGUGGGGAGCGAACAG
rnacentral:rRNA from 1 species